rnacentral:rRNA from 1 species
CAGCCGCCGCGGUAAAACGAAGGGGGCUAGCGUUGCUCGGAAUGACUGGGCGUAAAGGGCGCGCAGGCGGUUUGUUAAGACAGAUGUGAAAUCCCCGGGCUCAACCUGGGAACUGCAUUUGUGACUGGCAAGCUAGAGUGUGGCAGAGGGGGGUGGAAUUCCGCGUGUAGCAGUGAAAUGCGUAGAUAUGCGGAGGAACACCGAUGGCGAAGGCAGCCCCCUGGGCCAACACUGACGCUCAUGCACGAAAGCGUGGGGAGCAAACAGGAUUAGAUACCCCGGUAGUCCCUGUCUCUUAUAC